GACGAACGCUGGCGGCGUGCCUAAUACAUGCAAGUCGAGCGAGCGGAACCAACAGAUUUACUUCGGUAAUGACGUAGGGAAAGCGAGCGGCGGAUGGGUGAGUAACACGUGGGGAACCUGCCCCUAAGUCUGGGAUACCAUUUGGAAACAGGUGCUAAUACCGGAUAAUAAAGCAGAUCGCAUGAUCAGCUUUUGAAAGGCGGCGUAAGCUGUCGCUAAGGGAUGGCCCCGCGGUGCAUUAGCUAGUUGGUAAGGUAACGGCUUACCAAGGCGACGAUGCAUAGCCGAGUUGAGAGACUGAUCGGCCACAUUGGGACUGAGACACGGCCCAAACUCCUACGGGAGGCAGCAGUAGGGAAUCUUCCACAAUGGACGCAAGUCUGAUGGAGCAACGCCGCGUGAGUGAAGAAGGUUUUCGGAUCGUAAAGCUCUGUUGUUGGUGAAGAAGGAUAGAGGUAGUAACUGGCCUUUAUUUGACGGUAAUCAACCAGAAAGUCACGGCUAACUACGUGCCAGCAGCCGCGGUAAUACGUAGGUGGCAAGCGUUGUCCGGAUUUAUUGGGCGUAAAGCGAGCGCAGGCGGAAAAAUAAGUCUAAUGUGAAAGCCCUCGGCUUAACCGAGGAACUGCAUCGGAAACUGUUU
rnacentral:rRNA from 1 species